CUCUUCUCAGCUUCGGGGGACCCCCCCCCCAGGCUUCAUGAAGACACUGCCUAAGUGGUGAUGACAGUCUACCUACUCUACUCUGCUGUGACCAAUGACCAGAAGAACCUCAAUAGUGACGUGUCUCAGAUCCAAAUUCAAUGGACGCCUCUUCUUGGGAUCCAACAGAAGCAUCAGGCAGUCCCUUCUCCAUCGUGCUGCUGUGUGGCUGUGUGGAGAGUGGGCAGCAGCAAUGACGGCUGAGCUCCUGCGCUGAGAAGCCAGGCCUGCAGACCAGGUUCACCCCUCCACCUGGCUGGGGUACAAGCAGCGUGGUCCUCUGCUGCAGUGCAGGACCUCAUCUGGGGACAAUCUCCUGUUCUACCUUGGAAGAAACUGGAGGCCUCUGCACACAUGAGCAGCUGCUCUGAGCCGGGUCUGUCUCUGGCUAGGGAGGUGUAGCUUCUGGGCCCAUCUCCCAUUGAGAAGACUCUCCUUUGUGUUUCAAGGCUGUGUGUGUGCACUGGUUAUAUCUGGAAAGACAUCAGGGUGCCAGCUGCCCAGGGGUUUCUCUCCUUGUUGAUAUCCACGCUCUCCCUUCUGCGGGACCCGCUAUUACCCUGGCAGCCAUGGGCUGUUGAAUUUGCUUCUAAAAUCCAUACUCACACAUUUAUAACUUGGCUCGGAUCCAAUCUGACAAGAGCGUUUUAAAGCCAGCAGCAUUUGAUAUUUUCUUUCCCUCUCGCUAGCAAGUGCUUCUGUAAUUGCGGCUGUCUUCUCGGGGUUCCUGCCAGGCACACUGGGGGAGUCUCGGGGGAGCCUUCAAUCAAGGUUGUACCUGUUUGGGAAGCUGUGGGGCGUCGUUUUAUUUUUGGUCCUAGUAAUCUCUGGCUCGUAGGUGUUGAGGGAUAAGGAAUUUUCCAGUCACUCCACUGCAAAUACAGGACAAUUAAGCCGGGUCACAAUCCACCCUCUUAAGCACUACUCUCCUGCAUCGGGGCUUUUUCUCUCGUAGAAAUCCCUCUCUAGCCACACAACUGCUCUCAAAUAAACAGCUUUAAAAUUGCAUACUGACCUAUUGUUGGCCAAGCCCUUAAGGUCACACAGCUUGCCUUUUGGUGGCCAAAUUAGUCGCAGCAGGUGACACAGGAGCUGGCAUGGUGAGAGAAGGGGCCUUGAUUACCGUUUUCUAGAAGAGUAAAUGAGAAGGCAGGUGAUGGAUCCUUGGCCAAUCUGCACAAAGGCUUUCCUCGCACUGAUGGCAGCUGGACUCUCCAGCAUGGAGUUGUCCCCCUGCCUCAGUCGGCUAUGGCCAGCUCCUUGGGUUCUUCAGGCCUCAGCCACUCAGCUGCAGGAAUUAAACUCAUAUCCAAGAGGCCACUGUGGCAUCAGUGUCUGUCAGAAUCAAGGUACCAAAGCUGGCCAGUAGACAGCCCUCUGCUGUUGCUAAUUCUUCAAAUGGCAUUGAAGGGACUGGCAAGGCCCCAGCUUGUAGCCACAGGCAGCCCGGGGCCUGAUGAUCCCAAUGAGCGGGUCCCACUGACCAUUGCUUACAGUAGUCAGAGUUGCUGCUCCCUGCCUGUGGAAAGCCUCCCCCUCAGUUCUUCCCUUUAGAAAACCUCUUCAGCGCAUUUAAUCAUAGCCAAGUCACUAAUCAACAAUGUGUGCUCUCAGGCUGUGUCCAUGGCUCACCAGGCCAGCCCUUCCUUAAAGAGCCAAAGAACUCCCGCCUUGGGUUUCAUGGAAGCCAUUCUGGUUUUCUUAAACACUGGUCUUCUAAAAGAGGGAAUCGUUGCUUGUUCCAGCUGGCUUUCUUUGCUAUAAUUAAAAACUACAACAACAAUGAAAGCCAACCAACCAAACAAAUGAAUAGCAACAACAAUAAUAAC